GAAUUGUCUAGACCAAGAGUUCUUUCCACACCUGUCUGAGCUCACCUUCCUUUCCCCACUGGAAGACAACCCGGGAUUGGGAAGAAUGCCGUUCCAAGUCUGCCACCUUCAGCGCCCCUCGGUAACACGUCCCUGACCCCAUGGAAUAUAUCUCCAUCCAUCAUCACGGCAAACCCAAGGACAAGAGGUGAGACAAUCGAGGAGUGGAGCGAUAAUGUAACAUUGAGACCAGGAGUAGCCACUGAUGUGGAAGGCAACAAUUCCUCUGGAUUCUAUUGGAAGCACCCUUACAUCCAACCAGCAGAGCAGAAAGGAUGAACCAGAAGACUACUGGGAAUAUAUUACUGAAUUAUCUCCACUCAUUCAAUGCUAACUUUACGGUUCAAAUCAGAAUUCAUUGUGAAUGUUAUUUCCUUGUUUUGUAAAGAUGAAUUCCCACAUGUUUGAAAGCAUGUUAAUAUUUAUUUACAUUUAAGAUGCUGUAUUAACCUGCUUAGACGUUAGGGACUGAUCACCCUCUAGUGGUUGUGUAUGUACAAUGACAAACAUCCUGUGUGCCUAACUUCAAUAAAUUGCAUUCCUUAUAUUUACCUAAGUCACAUAUAUAUUGGGAAAAACAAGAGAACACAGGUGAUCCCCAAAAAAGAAGUUUUAUUUUUCAAGCUACAGUUAAAGAAAAACAAUACCAGAGGCCGAAAAUAUAACAUUUGCUUGGCUUUUUUUCCCUCUCUUUUCACUUUCACAUAUGUACAGUUAUCGAAGAACAGGGUAUAUACAGAGAAUCGAAGGGAAGGGUGGUAGAGAGAGUGCAUUUGCUUUUUGGGGACUAAAACAUGACUCUCCCACCAACAAAAAAAGCAAGGUAAAACCAACCAACAUAAAAGGACCUGCCACGACUCUGGUGAUAUCAACUUACUUUUCUGUACAAUACAAACAGUCUACUUUGUUUCACGAAUGAGAGUGAGGGAUUUGUAUGUUCUCUGAUUUGGAAUAAAUCUCAACUAGCGUUUUCUGAAAACUUUUAAACAAAAAGAAUGAUAACAUGAAAGAAAUACAAAAUAUAUAUUUUACAACCAUUCAUGCAAAAAGAUGUUCAAGCCACUUCUACAAUGUGAAGUGGCUCCAACUUUUUCUGUCACGACAGUUUACAACAAUCACCCAAACCAGAAGUCUAAAGAAAAACUAAACGCACAAAUGUGUUUUUUUUUUAAAAGCACAGAACAAGCAUUGGAGGAAUUUGAAGUCUGUCGCCAAGUCAAACCCCAACCAAAGGGUAGUCAUGGUAUUCCAUUGUCAUGCAGAGGGAACUCAAAGUAAUCAAGGGCUGAUGUAGCAGAUGUUGACCCACUCCUCAAAGUUUAUUCUGCACCAGUUAAUAAAAAAAAAAAAAAAAAAAAAAAAA